rnacentral:rRNA from 1 species
GAUGAACGCUGGCGGCGUGCUUAACACAUGCAAGUCGAACGAAGCACUUUGAUCGAUUUCUUCGGAUUGAAAUUUUAGUGACUGAGUGGCGGACGGGUGAGUAACGCGUGGGUAACCUGCCUCACACAGGGGGAUAACAGUUGGAAACGGCUGCUAAUACCGUAUAAGCGCACAGUACCGCAUGGUACAGUGUGAAAAACUCCGGUGGUGUGAGAUGGACCCGCGUCUGAUUAGCUAGUUGGCAGGGCAGCGGCCUACCAAGGCGACGAUCAGUAGCCGACCUGAGAGGGUGACCGGCCACAUUGGGACUGAGACACGGCCCAAACUCCUACGGGAGGCAGCAGUGGGGAAUAUUGCACAAUAGGGGAAACCCUGAUGCAGCGACGCCGCGUGAGCGAAGAAGUAUUUCGGUAUGUAAAGCUCUAUCAGCAGGGAAGAAGGAAUGACGGUACCUGACUAAGAAGCACCGGCUAAAUACGUGCCAGCCGCCGCAGUAACAC